AGUCGUAACAAGGUUUCCGUAGGUGAACCUGCGGAAGGAUCAUUACCGAGUGAGGGCCCUCUGGGUCCAACCUCCCACCCGUGUUUAUUUUACCUUGUUGCUUCGGCGGGCCCGCCUUAACUGGCCGCCGGGGGGCUUACGCCCCCGGGCCCGCGCCCGCCGAAGACACCCUCGAACUCUGUCUGAAGAUUGUAGUCUGAGUGAAAAUAUAAAUUAUUUAAAACUUUCAACAACGGAUCUCUUGGUUCCGGCAUCGAUGAAGAACGCAGCGAAAUGCGAUACGUAAUGUGAAUUGCAAAUUCAGUGAAUCAUCGAGUCUUUGAACGCACAUUGCGCCCCCUGGUAUUCCGGGGGGCAUGCCUGUCCGAGCGUCAUUGCUGCCCUCAAGCACGGCUUGUGUGUUGGGCCCCGUCCUCCGAUCCCGGGGGACGGGCCCGAAAGGCAGCGGCGGCACCGCGUCCGGUCCUCGAGCGUAUGGGGCUUUGUCACCCGCUCUGUAGGCCCGGCCGGCGCUUGCCGAUCAACCCAAAUUUUUAUCCAGGUUGACCUCGGAUCAGGUAGGGAUACCCGCUGAACUUAAGCAUAUCAAUAAGCGGAGGAA
rnacentral:misc_RNA from 1 species